rnacentral:rRNA from 1 species
GACAGAGGUGCCGAGCGUUAGGCGGAAUCACUGGGCUUAAAGCGUGUGUAGGCGGAUGCCUAAGUACCUUGUGAAAUCCCACGGCUCAACCGUGGAACUGCUUGGUAUACUGGGUGUCUUGAGCUAUCUAGGGGCAACUGGAACAAACGGUGGAGCGGUGAAAUGCGUAGGUAUCGUUUGGAACGCCAAUGGUGAAAACAGGUUGCUGGGGAUAUGCUGACGCUGAGACACGAAAGCCAGGGGAGCAAACGGG